rnacentral:tRNA from 1 species
GCCUUCGUGGUGUAGUGGUCAACACAGUUGACGCAUAUUCGAGAGGUCCAGGGUUCGAGUCCCGGCGAAGGCA